GGUUAAGCGACUAAGCGUACACGGUGGAUGCCCUGGCAGUCAGAGGCGAUGAAGGACGUGCUAAUCUGCGAUAAGCGUCGGUAAGGUGAUAUGAACCGUUAUAACCGGCGAUUUCCGAAUGGGGAAACCCAGUGUGAUUCGUCACACUAUCAUUAACUGAAUCCAUAGGUUAAUGAGGCGAACCGGGGGAACUGAAACAUCUAAGUACCCCGAGGAAAAGAAAUCAACCGAGAUUCCCCCAGUAGCGGCGAGCGAACGGGGAGCAGCCCAGAGCCUGAAUCAGUGUGUGUGUUAGUGGAAGCGUCUGGAAAGGCGUGCGAUACAGGGUGACAGCCCCGUACACAAAAAUGCACAUACUGUGAGCUCGAUGAGUAGGGCGGGACACGUGGUAUCCUGUCUGAAUAUGGGGGGACCAUCCUCCAAGGCUAAAUACUCCUGACUGACCGAUAGUGAACCAGUACCGUGAGGGAAAGGCGAAAAGAACCCCGGCGAGGGGAGUGAAAAAGAACCUGAAACCGUGUACGUACAAGCAGUGGGAGCACGCUUAGGCGUGUGACUGCGUACCUUUUGUAUAAUGGGUCAGCGACUUAUAUUCUGUAGCAAGGUUAACCGAAUAGGGGAGCCGAAGGGAAACCGAGUCUUAACUGGGCGUUAAGUUGCAGGGUAUAGACCCGAAACCCGGUGAUCUAGCCAUGGGCAGGUUGAAGGUUGGGUAACACUAACUGGAGGACCGAACCGACUAAUGUUGAAAAAUUAGCGGAUGACUUGUGGCUGGGGGUGAAAGGCCAAUCAAACCGGGAGAUAGCUGGUUCUCCCCGAAAGCUAUUUAGGUAGCGCCUCGUGAAUUCAUCUCCGGGGGUAGAGCACUGUUUCGGCAAGGGGGUCAUCCCGACUUACCAACCCGAUGCAAACUGCGAAUACCGGAGAAUGUUAUUACGGGAGACACACGGCGGGUGCUAACGUCCGUCGUGAAGAGGGAAACAACCCAGACCGCCAGCUAAGGUCCCAAAGUCAUGGUUAAGUGGGAAACGAUGUGGGAAGGCCCAGACAGCCAGGAUGUUGGCUUAGAAGCAGCCAUCAUUUAAAGAAAGCGUAAUAGCUCACUGGUCGAGUCGGCCUGCGCGGAAGAUGUAACGGGGCUAAACCAUGCACCGAAGCUGCGGCAGCGACGCUUAUGCGUUGUUGGGUAGGGGAGCGUUCUGUAAGCCUGUGAAGGUGUGCUGUGAGGUAUGCUGGAGGUAUCAGAAGUGCGAAUGCUGACAUAAGUAACGAUAAAGCGGGUGAAAAGCCCGCUCGCCGGAAGACCAAGGGUUCCUGUCCAACGUUAAUCGGGGCAGGGUGAGUCGACCCCUAAGGCGAGGCCGAAAGGCGUAGUCGAUGGGAAACAGGUUAAUAUUCCUGUACUUGGUGUUACUGCGAAGGGGGGACGGAGAAGGCUAUGUUGGCCGGGCGACGGUUGUCCCGGUUUAAGCGUGUAGGCUGGUUUUCCAGGCAAAUCCGGAAAAUCAAGGCCGAGGCGUGAUGACGAGGCACUACGGUGCUGAAGCAACAAAUGCCCUGCUUCCAGGAAAAGCCUCUAAGCAUCAGGUAACAUCAAAUCGUACCCCAAACCGACACAGGUGGUCAGGUAGAGAAUACCAAGGCGCUUGAGAGAACUCGGGUGAAGGAACUAGGCAAAAUGGUGCCGUAACUUCGGGAGAAGGCACGCUGAUACGUAGGUGAAGCGACUUGCUCGUGGAGCUGAAAUCAGUCGAAGAUACCAGCUGGCUGCAACUGUUUAUUAAAAACACAGCACUGUGCAAACACGAAAGUGGACGUAUACGGUGUGACGCCUGCCCGGUGCCGGAAGGUUAAUUGAUGGGGUUAGCGCAAGCGAAGCUCUUGAUCGAAGCCCCGGUAAACGGCGGCCGUAACUAUAACGGUCCUAAGGUAGCGAAAUUCCUUGUCGGGUAAGUUCCGACCUGCACGAAUGGCGUAAUGAUGGCCAGGCUGUCUCCACCCGAGACUCAGUGAAAUUGAACUCGCUGUGAAGAUGCAGUGUACCCGCGGCAAGACGGAAAGACCCCGUGAACCUUUACUAUAGCUUGACACUGAACAUUGAGCCUUGAUGUGUAGGAUAGGUGGGAGGCUUUGAAGUGUG
rnacentral:rRNA from 1 species